rnacentral:rRNA from 1 species
CGGCGGCAAUAGCGGUGAGGACCCACCUCUACCCAUACCGAACAGAGAAGUUAAGCUCACUUGCGCCGAUGGUACUGCCCGACCAGGUGGGAGAGUAGGCAGCUGCCG